UCUGUAACCCACAAAGAUUCCCGGC
rnacentral:piRNA from 1 species